CUACGUAGGGGGCGAGCGUUGUCCGGAAUGAUUGGGCGUAAAGGGCGCGUAGGCGGCCCGGUAAGUCUGGAGUGAAAGUCCUGUUUUUAAGAUGGGAAUUGCUUUGGAUACUGUCGGGCUUGAGUGCAGGAGAGGUAAGUGGAAUUCCCAGUGUAGCGGUGAAAUGCGUAGAAAUUGGGAGGAACACCAGUGGCGAAGGCGACUUACUGGACUGUAACUGACGCUGAGGCGAGAAAGUGUGGGGAGCAAACAGGAUUAGAUACCCUGGUAGUCCACGUUGUAAACGAUGAAUACUAGGUGUGGGACGGCUGACCCGUUCCGUGCCGGAGUUAACACAAUAAGUAUUCCACCUGGGGAGUACGGCCGCAAGGUUGAAACUCAAAGGAAUUGACGGGG
rnacentral:rRNA from 1 species